AUUUUAGUGCUUGCACUAAAUGAAACUAGAUACAAGCGAGCGGCGGACGGGUGAGUAACACGUGGGUAACCUGCCCAAGAGACUGGGAUAACACCUGGAAACAGAUGCUAAUACCGGAUAACAACACUAGACGCAUGUCUAGAGUUUGAAAGAUGGUUCUGCUAUCACUCUUGGAUGGACCUGCGGUGCAUUAGCUAGUUGGUAAGGUAACGGCUUACCAAGGCAAUGAUGCAUAGCCGAGUUGAGAGACUGAUCGGCCACAUUGGGACUGAGACACGGCCCAAACUCCUACGGGAGGCAGCAGUAGGGAAUCUUCCACAAUGGACGAAAGUCUGAUGGAGCAACGCCGCGUGAGUGAAGAAGGGUUUCGGCUCGUAAAGCUCUGUUGGUAGUGAAGAAAGAUAGAGGUAGUAACUGGCCUUUAUUUGACGGUAAUUACUUAGAAAGUCACGGCUAACUACGUGCCAGCAGCCGCGGUAAUACGUAGGUGGCAAGCGUUGUCCGGAUUUAUUGGGCGUAAAGCGAGUGCAGGCGGUUCAAUAAGUCUGAUGUGAAAGCCUUCGGCUCAACCGGAGAAUUGCAUCAGAAACUGUUGAACUUGAGUGCAGAAGAGGAGAGUGGAACUCCAUGUGUAGCGGUGGAAUGCGUAGAUAUAUGGAAGAACACCAGUGGCGAAGGCGGCUCUCUGGUCUGCAACUGACGCUG
rnacentral:rRNA from 1 species